rnacentral:pre_miRNA from 1 species
GGGAGCUCAGGAUCCUGGCUGUGUCCCUGGGAGCCCUGGGGUCCGGGGCCUGCUCUCCUGGAAUCGCGCUCCCGGCCCGCGGCUCCU